GCCCUUAGAGUUUGAUCCUGGCUCAGGAUGAACGCUAGCUACAGGCUUAACACAUGCAAGUCGAGGGGAAACGACAUCGAAAGCUUGCUUUCGAUGGGCGUCGACCGGCGCACGGGUGAGUAACGCGUAUCCAACCUGCCCAUCACUUGGGGAUAACCUUGCGAAAGUAAGACUAAUACCCAAUGACGUCUCUAGAAGACAUCUGAAGGAGAUUAAAGAUUUAUCGGUGAUGGAUGGGGAUGCGUCUGAUUAGCUUGUUGGCGGGGUAACGGCCCACCAAGGCGACGAUCAGUAGGGGUUCUGAGAGGAAGGUCCCCCACAUUGGAACUGAGACACGGUCCAAACUCCUACGGGAGGCAGCAGUGAGGAAUAUUGGUCAAUGGGCGAGAGCCUGAACCAGCCAAGUAGCGUGCAGGAUGACGGCCCUAUGGGUUGUAAACUGCUUUUAUAAGGGAAUAAAGUGAGCCUCGUGAGGCUUUUUGCAUGUACCUUAUGAAUAAGGACCGGCUAAUUCCGUGCCAGCAGCCGCGGUAAUACGGAAGGUCCGAGCGUUAUCCGGAUUUAUUGGGUUUAAAGGGAGCGUAGGCCGGAGAUUAAGCGUGUUGUGAAAUGUAGACGCUCAACGUCUGCACUGCAGCGCGAACUGGUUUCCUUGAGUACGCACAAAGUGGGCGGAAUUCGUGGUGUAGCGGUGAAAUGCUUAGAUAUCACGAAGAACUCCGAUUGCGAAGGCAGCUCACUGGAGCGCAACUGACGCUGAAGCUCGAAAGUGCGGGUAUCGAACAGGAUUAGAUACCCUGGUAGUCCGCACGGUAAACGAUGGAUGCCCGCUGUUGGUCUGAAUAGGUCAGCGGCCAAGCGAAAGCAUUAAGCAUCCCACCUGGGGAGUACGCCGGCAACGGUGAAACUCAAAGGAAUUGACG
rnacentral:rRNA from 1 species